rnacentral:lncRNA from 1 species
GGUCGAAAACCAGACGCUUAGCAACCUUCAGCAUAAUAGACUUUGCAGUUGUUCUGGGAAGAAAAUGGCAGCUGUCUAGAAAUUUUAAGGUGCAGCAUACAGAAAACAAAGGCAUCACUGAUCCAUACCUACAUACACCAUAAGGUGAUUAUCUUACCUGUUGAGAACUCAAUUUUGUUUUUGUCUGUUGUUGUGCUUCUAGGGUAAUGAAGGCUUCUCUGGGGCUGAUGAUUUACCAGGCCAAGAAGGACCUAGGAUAUACACCACACAAAUUAUUACAACGAAUGUUCCAGUGGAACCAAAAUAUUUUCCAUUAUUCUUAUAAUGCUUACAGGCUUGACCCUGCCUUCCAAGACUCCAUUAUCUUCAAUAUUCAGGUGUAAGAUUGACUUUGUGCUCCUAGUGGACAGUAAUGUAUCUUGUUUGUACGUGGUGAUUUUAUACAGGUUACAGUUACACUGAUAAUUCAUAGUAGAAGUUAGUUGUCCAUGAAGUACCUCUUUUUACACAAUGCAGGUAUUUGUGUUUGUUAAUUGCAGGGUCUCGUUGGUGUUCCAGGGGAUUUUGGUCCACCCGGACCAAAAGGAGCUCCAGUAAGCUAUGUUUCUGCUUUACAAGAACUAGCAACUCUACUGUAUCUAAAGCUAGACUACUAAAGAGAGGGACCAUAUGGUUUAGCAGAUUGGUAAAUGGGAAAUGGAGUCUUUUACUGCUAGGUCACCAGUUCAAAUGCAUCCCAAGCUGCUAGUGAUUAGUCUCACAAUUUGUUUCCAUCUGACGUUAAUUGACUGGUCUCUAAAACAAAAUGCUCUUAGUCCAGUUCCCACUAGACAGUAAUAUCACGAGAACCAUUAUCACAAUUUGCACUCAUUAGCAUUGAUAUUGGCAGAACUGAAUAGAUGGUGACCUCACUUUCCACACAUAAAAGAAUAAUAUAAAAUUCACAAAAGAAGAACAAGGGACUGUCAUAGGGACAUGGCUGCUCAGUAGUGCUCCCUGUUGGCCAAACACGGUGCUGUGCCUCAGUUUCCCUCACCCAGGUGGGUCUCCCUGGCUCUUUGCACACUAGUUUGUGCUGGAGAUGUGGCUUAGCUCUCCAGCCAAAUCACAACAAACAUAACCUCUUCUGGGGUAGCAAGAGUCCAAACUAAAAAGUCCCACCAAAUUGAAAAGUCCCUCACCUUCUGGGCUCAGUGCCUCAUGUCCUUCCUGGACCUGGUAUAGAGCCUCGGGCUGGUUCCCCUGGAUGACCCUUUUCCUUGCAGGACCUAUCACAGAAGCCAGCCAGCCUGAGCGCCUGCCUGCUCACUCCUUGUGCUUUCAACUUUUGACUGACCUCACUCUCAUUCCAUUAGUCUAUCACCUGACCCUCCUUAGUCCCGC